CCGUAGGGGUAACCUGCGGAGGGAUCAUUACCGAGUUUACAACUCCCAAACCCCUGUGAACAUACCACUUGUUGCCUCGGCGGAUCAGCCCGCUCCCGGUAAAACGGGACGGCCCGCCAGAGGACCCCUAAACUCUGUUUCUAUAUGUAACUUCUGAGUAAAACCAUAAAUAAAUCAAAACUUUCAACAACGGAUCUCUUGGUUCUGGCAUCGAUGAAGAACGCAGCAAAAUGCGAUAAGUAAUGUGAAUUGCAGAAUUCAGUGAAUCAUCGAAUCUUUGAACGCACAUUGCGCCCGCCAGUAUUCUGGCGGGCAUGCCUGUUCGAGCGUCAUUUCAACCCUCAAGCACAGCUUGGUGUUGGGACUCGCGUUAAUUCGCGUUCCUCAAAUUGAUUGGCGGUCACGUCGAGCUUCCAUAGCGUAGUAGUAAAACCCUCGUUACUGGUAAUCGUCGCGGCCACGCCGUUAAACCCCAACUUCUGAAUGUUGACCUCGGAUCAGGUAGGAAUACCCGCUGAACUUAAGCAUAUCAAAGGCCGGAGGAAGA
rnacentral:rRNA from 1 species